rnacentral:rRNA from 1 species
AUUGAACGCUGGCGGCAGGCCUAACACAUGCAAGUCGAACGGUAACAGGAAGCAGCUUGCCGCUUUGCUGACGAGUGGCGGACGGGUGAGUAAUGUCUGGGAAACUGCCCGAUGGAGGGGGAUAACUACUGGAAACGGUAGCUAAUACCGCAUAACGUCGCAAGACCAAAGAGGGGGACCUUAGGGCCUCUUGCCAUCGGAUGUGCCCAGAUGGGAUUAGCUAGUAGGUGGGGUAACGGCUCACCUAGGCGACGAUCCCUAGCUGGUCUGAGAGGAUGACAAGCCACACUGGAACUGAGACACGGUCCAGACUCCUACGGGAGGCAGCAGUGGGGAAUAUUGCACAAUGGGCGCAAGCCUGAUGCAGCCAUGCCGCGUGUAUGAAGAAGGCCUUCGGGUUGUAAAGUACUUUCAGCGGGGAGGAAGGGAGUAAAGUUAAUACCUUUGCUCAUUGACGUUACCCGCAGAAGAAGCACCGGCUAACUCCGUG